UUCAGAUGACAAUUGCUGGGAGUAUAGCUAUGAAGGGGAAGAGAGACAAGCGCAACACACAUGUAUGCAUGAACCUGCCCACAGAGAGAGUGCUGCGCAUAUGAAUAUACCCCCUCCCGUUUCUGCCUCCAAGCAGAUUGCUAUCUGAAAGCCCCAAGAACUUUGGCACAAUCUGAAGAGGUGGCUGUGAAUAUAAACAGAUGGUAAAAGAACUGGGCAUACUCCGCAAGUUCUCUUCAACGAAGACGGGCGGAGGGAGGGUGCCUGUCUUCUGAAAUGCCAUCCUCUGAUAGCCAGCAUCCAGACAAGAUGAAACAUGUCGUCAGGUUUUCGCCAGGCGGAUUCUUCUUUUAAACAACAACACAAAAUGCCACAGAUGGAUGCGUUCGGAACCUUCUGGCGAAUCCUUCAGGCAGGGAAACACGAUAGAUACCCUUCCAGCAUUUCACAGAUAACAACUGGUAUUCAUGAGUCUCAUCAACAGCAGAGCAUGGGGUCAAGAUGUGGAUAUCUAUGAAAGAAGAAGUACAGAUAAGCUAGGAGAGGUUGCAGCAAAUUGCUUUUGCCUGAGCCUAGUGUUCCUAUGUGGAUUAAGCUGCCUGCCUUGGAGUCCUGCGAUCAAGUUUAUGGAUUAGUUAUCAAGACUGUGCUACAAAUGGAUUUUGACUUUCUGGGAUUAUUUUGGAAUAACUUUUUGAACUUUGAUGCUUCUUUAUAAAGUUACUGAUUUCUUUAUAUAUUCAUCUUUUAAUAAACUUUAUCUUACUAGACUAUUUGGAUAAAGUGUGGUGUAUGGUAGAAAAGGUGGUUCAAGGCUUUAGUGCAACAACCAUGACAUUUUGAAACCAGCUGGAAAAGUAGGACGACAGAGGAUUAAUUGAGGCAGUUAAAGGAUAAAGCAAUACUUCCCAAUAAAACCCCUUUUUGCAAAAAAAUAAUAUUCCUAAUGCCUCAUGAAUAAUGUGGGACCAGUUUUAUUACAUUCUGCCUCCAAGUCAUUUUAUGUCUGCUUUUUGGCAUAGGAAAUCAGAUGACUGGAAGUUGAUUCAUCAUUGACUUUCCAUUUCAGAGAAGUCCUCUCCUUGGUCUAAAACAACCUAAAGGAUGUCCAAAAAUGUGGCAAGAUUUCCGUAUGUCUGUGAGCUGGUAGGUAUAUGCAGCCAGAAAAAUAAAACAUUUUAAAAUUGGCAAACUGGCAAUUACUUGCACCUGAUACAGAUAGAGG